rnacentral:rRNA from 1 species
UACGUAGGUGGCAAGCGUUGUCCGGAAUUAUUGGGCGUAAAGCGCGCGCAGGUGGUUCUUUAAGUCUGAUGUGAAAGCCCACGGCUCAACCGUGGAGGGUCAUUGGAAACUGGGGAGCUUGAGUGCAGAAGAGGAAAGUGGAAUUCCACGUGUAGCGGUGAAAUGCGUAGAGAUGUGGAGGAACACCAGUGGCGAAGGCGACUUUCUGGUCUGUAACUGACACUGAGGCGCGAAAGCGUGGGGAGCGAACAGG